AUUGAACGCUGGCGGCAUGCUUUACACAUGCAAGUCGAACGGUAACAGGCCGCAAGGUGCUGACGAGUGGCGAACGGGUGAGUAAUGCAUCGGAACGUGCCCAGUCGUGGGGGAUAACGCAGCGAAAGCUGUGCUAAUACCGCAUACGAUCUGUGGAUGAAAGCGGGGGACCGUAAGGCCUCGCGCGAUUGGAGCGGCCGAUGUCAGAUUAGGUAGUUGGUGGGGCAAAGGCUCACCAAGCCGACGAUCUGUAGCUGGUCUGAGAGGACGACCAGCCACACUGGGACUGAGACACGGCCCAGACUCCUACGGGAGGCAGCAGUGGGGAAUUUUGGACAAUGGGCGCAAGCCUGAUCCAGCAAUGCCGCGUGCAGGAAGAAGGCCUUCGGGUUGUAAACUGCUUUUGUACGGAGCGAAAAGGCUCUCUCUAAUACAGGGGGCUCAUGACGGUACCGUAAGAAUAAGCACCGGCUAACUACGUGCCAGCCGCCGCUGUAAUAC
rnacentral:rRNA from 1 species